rnacentral:misc_RNA from 1 species
AAGACUAUAGACCUGCGGAGUACCUGGAGGGAUCAUUAUCGUAUUGUAACAAUUGGGGGGGCCACCGUGGGCUGUCGCUGACCCUUUGAAAGGGGGGUCGUGCACGCCCCCAUAGUGUCAUCCUCAUACAAUCCAACUCACCUCUGUGCAUCACCGCGUGGGUUCCUUUCUGGGUCGAGUCAGACUGGCUCAGAAAAAAGGGGCUUGCGUUUUCCAUACAAAUACCCUUAUAAAUCCAGU